GGGGGCGAAAUGGGUUCGACGGGAGAACAGGUGGCAGAAAUAGCGAGCCGGGGUUCCAUCAGCCCGUUAAACGGUGGAAAAAAUAUAACUGCCAACAAAAAUAGUUACGCUCUAGCUGCUUAAACGCAGCUAGCAUUCCGCUUGCCCUUGCCUGCAGGGCGAGGCCGGGGUGUCAAUUUGUCAGGCUUACCCUUGAGGAUCUCGCUCGAGGACCUAUAGGGGAGCAUCAAUCGGGAUAGCGCCGGCGGAGGCUGACUGUGGCCGCCAAAGGGGCGAAAUUUAAAGCACAGCCUGCGCUCGGAGAAGUUUUUGUGGUCUUUCUUUCGGACGGUGGGUUCAACUCCCCCCGCCUCCACCA
rnacentral:tmRNA from 2 species